rnacentral:sRNA from 1 species
CAAGGCUGCCCACCAGAAGGACCUGCCCGAGAGGGUAGAGGGCAUAGGGUCCAAGAUCAAGGUCAGAGGCCCCCUUGGGUUGAGAGAGGACACGGAAGGGAUUAGGAGCCCAGGAACUGGGGUCUCAGGAGAGACCUAAGAUCUGACUUAAGAGGCCUGAAAAUGCCCGUGCAAUUCUGCUUCAGCCCGGGUGCAGCGGCUCACGCCUGUAAUCCCAACACUUUGGGAGGCCGAGGCGGGCGGAUCACUCGAGCCCAGGAAUUUGAGACCAGCCUGGGCAGCAUAGCGAGACCCCUGUCUCUAUUAUAUUAAAAAAAAAAAAAAAAAAAGCCCGCUCCAGCCGAUUCUGCUUGAAGUUGGCGUUGCUGUUGUAACCACCAGACUGUGUUUGUCUCCCCAUUUAACGGUUAGCUCCUUGGGAGCAGACAGCUGUCCUCACUGGCAGAGGAGGAGCGCUCAGUAAAUGCUCGCUGGACGGAUAAAUGACUAGAUAAGAUAAGGCAGCUCCAGCCCCUGGAAGGCCAGAGACUUGCCAGUGUCCCACUAGCGGGCUCUUCGCAAGAAUCCCCCCGGGCCCGCCGCACCCAGGCGGCGGCCGGCAGAGGGCGCUGCUCGGGCAUGGCGGAGGAGCGGCCGGGGGCCUGGUUCGGCUUCGGUUUCUGCGGCUUCGGGCAGGAGCUGGGCUCCGGACGCGGGCGCCAGGUGCACAGCCCCAGUCCGCUGCGGGCGGGCGUCGACAUCUGCCGCGUGAGCGCGAGCUGGAGCUACACCGCCUUCGUGACCCGUGAGCACUCCCCGCCCCGUCCCCACUUAUUCCAGCCGCGCUCCCCAGUCGCCUCCCCGCACCGCUGUGGCCAGUCCAGUUUGUCUCCCCCGUUCAGGCCGCCAGCCCCACAUUCUGGGUUGGUUCCCAAUUCGACCCCUUCCCAGGAACACCCCGCUCCCCACACCCCCGCCGCCUCCAUUCUGGCCACCCUGCUCCAAUCCGCC